UCUCUAAAGUUUCAAUCACGAUUUUUCAUUUGCUUUUCCUCUAAUGUCUAACUCCUUAGCUUGAUGGCACAUCUUCUUUCGAGGUUCCACCGUGCUUGAUUAAACAUUGAGCUUAUGCUUCCAUUGCUUAUAUGACUUGUGCUGGAUUUAGUUUGUCUAAGAAUCGCAAAUAAUGGGUCCAUGAUUAUAACAAGUAUCAUGAAAAGAACAUUUCCUUUUCAUGUACAAUAUUUAUAUUUUUAUUGUGGAAUAUACGAACCUCUAGCCCUUUCUUAACCUCCACCGUGGACUCAAGUCAAUAGUUUGGCAUGGAAACGUUGUUUCUUUAGAGAUGUUAAGAUUGCAAGCAAGGAGAUGAUCUCAAGAAGAUGGUUAAGAGCGGUUUCUAGAGAAGAACUCUAAACUCUUAUACUUCGUAUGUAUAAAGUGUUAUCAACAAUUUUAGUAUUGUAUUCAAUUUGUGUUAGUGGCUUAAAGUAUUAGAUAUUAUUUCCAUGGAUACUUCAUUUUUAGGUAAGGUUAUUUCUCACCCUUACAAAGUUGUUUUGCUGGUGUUUUGGCUCAUACUCAAAUAGUUAAAGAAUAGUCAUUUUUA